rnacentral:lncRNA from 1 species
GAGUACUUGGUGAAGUGGCGACAGCUUCCCCGAACUGAAGCCAGUUGGGAGCCUGAAGACGCCCUACGACAUGAAGAAGAAGUCAUCAACAACUACCAACAAGCGUCGACGAGGGCGUCGAUAGUUUAAGUGGGGGAGAAUGUCACGAGCAGUCGUCGCGCACCCGCAACAACUCCGUUCAACGAACCGUUCGUCACUCACACCUACAUGUACAGUUGCUUGACAGCAUGUUUUCUCUUGGUUUUGGGUCAUUUUGCUUGUAAAAAUGUAAGUUCGAACAAGCUGCAGCGUUACAAAGCGAUCGCUCACCGAACCGAGCAAAACAGCCCCAAAACAGCUUCGUUUUCGCGUGCCGUGGGCUGAUUUCUGCAAUCUGC